UACAGAGGUCUCAACCGUUGUUCGGAUUCAUUGGGCGUAAAGGGUGCGUAGGCGGUCGUGCAAGUCGGAUGUGAAAUCUCAGGGCUCAACCCUGAAACUGCAUUCGAUACUGCGUGGCUAGAGUGCUGGAGAGGAGACUGGAAUUUACGGUGUAGCAGUGAAAUGCGUAGAUAUCGUAAGGAAGACCAGUGGCGAAGGCGAGUCUCUGGACAGCAACUGACGCUGGGGCACGAAGGCCAGGGGAGCAAACGGG
rnacentral:rRNA from 1 species